rnacentral:rRNA from 1 species
UACAGAGGGGGCGAGCGUUGUUCGGAAUUACUGGGCGUAAAGGGCGCGUAGGUGGCCUGCUAUGUCGAACGUGAAAUCCCUGGGCUCAACCCAGGAACUGCGUCCGAAACUGGCAGGCUCGAAUCCGGGAGUGGGAUGUGGAAUUCCAGGUGUAGCGGUGAAAUGCGCAGAUAUCAGGAGGAACACCGGUGGCGAAGGCGGGUCUCUGGGCCGAUACUGACGCUGAGGAGCGAAAGCGUGGGGAGCAAACAGG